GACGAACGCUGGCGGCGUGCUUAACACAUGCAAGUCGAACGGAAAGGCCCUGCUUUUGUGGGGUGCUCGAGUGGCGAACGGGUGAGUAGCACGUGAGUAACCUUCCUUUGACUUUGGGAUAACUUCAGGAAACUGGGGCUAAUACCGGAUAGGAGCUCCUGCUGCAUGGUGGUGGUUGGAAAGUUUCGGCGGUUGGGGAUGGACUCGCGGCUUAUGAGCUUGUUGGUGGGGUAGUGGCUUACCAAGGCUUUGACGGGUAGCCGGCCUGGGAAGGGAGUCGGGCACAGUGGUACUGGGAUAGGCAGCAGUCUACAAUGGUAGACAAUAGGCGGGAAUCUUGCACAGUGAGGCCACGUCUGUUGGAAAGAGCUCGCGAGAGGGAUAAAGGUCUUCGGGUUAUGAAACGCUUUGAGCUGUUACCGAGCGUUGGUGACGGUAAUGGGUAAAGAAGCACCGGCUAACUACGUG
rnacentral:rRNA from 1 species